rnacentral:rRNA from 1 species
GACGAACGCUGGCGGCGUGCUUAACACAUGCAAGUCGUACGGAAAGGCCCUGCUUUUGUGGGGUGCUCGAGUGGCGAACGGGUGAGUAACACGUGAGUAACCUGCCCUUGACUUUGGGAUAACUUCAGGAAACUGGGGCUAAUACCGGAUAGGAGCUCCUGCUGCAUGGUGGGGGUUGGAAAGUUUCGGCGGGUGGGGAUGGACUCGCGGCUUAUCAGCUUGUUGGUGUGGUAGUGGCUUACCAAGGCUUUGACGGGUAGCCGGCCUGAGAGGGUGACCGGCCCCAUUGGGACUGAGAUACGGCCCAGACUCCUACGGGAGGCAGCAGUGGGGAAUAUUGCACAAUGGGCGGAAGCCUGAUGCAGCAACGCCGCGUGCGGGAUGACGGCCUUCGGUUUGUAAACCGCUUUCGCCUGUGACGAAGCGUGUGUGACGGUAAUGGGUAAAGAAGCACCGGCUAACUACGUG